rnacentral:pre_miRNA from 1 species
UGGAAAGAUUAUUGUAUUCGACUGUAUGCACGGCGUGAAACAGGGGAUUACACUAUUUUUAAACGAAAGUAAAUCAAUUAACAUAAUCGACUCCU